rnacentral:tRNA from 1 species
GCUGGUGUAGCUUAAGUAAAGCAUAACACUGAAGAUGUUAAGAUAAACCCUAGAAAGUUUCGCGAGCA